CCUCUUAGUUCCACAACAACCAGUCCCUCUUAGUUCCACAACAACCAGUCCCUCUUAGUUCCACAACAACAAGUCCCUCUUAGUUCCACAACAACCAGUCCCUCUUAGUUCCACAACAACCAGUCCCUCUUAGUUCCACAACAACCAGUCCCUCUUAGUUCCACAACAACCAGUCCCUCUUAGUUCCACAACAACCAGUCCCUCUUAGUUCCACAACAACCAGUCCCACUUAGUUCCACAACAACCAGUCCCUCUUAGUUCCACAACAACCAGUCCCUCUUAGUUCCACAACAACCAGUCCCUCUUCACUCCACAACAACCAGUCCCUCUUAGUUCCACAGCAACCAGUCCCUCUUAGUUCCACAACAACCAGUCCCUCUUAGUUUCACAGCAACCAGUCCCUGUUAGCUAAGACAGUACGUUCCCAAUAAAAACAUAAUUCCACCUUGACAUUAUGGGGUAGAUCAGUGACAAAACAAUCUUCCUUUCAAUCCAUUUCAAAUUCAGGCUGUAAACACAACAAACAUUAGGAUAAAGUCAACGGGUGUGAAGGCUCAAAGUAAACAAAACAUUAUGAACACCUGCUCUUUCCAUGACAGACUGACCAGGUGAAUCCAGGUGAAAGCUGUCAUCCCUUAUUGAUGUCACCUGUUAAAUCCACUUCAAUCAGUGUAGAUGAAUGGGAGGAGACGGGAUAAAGGAAGGAUUUUUAAGCCUUGAGACAUGGAUUGUGUCUGUGUGUCAUUCAGAGGGUGAAUGGGCAAGACAAAAUAUUUAAGUGCCUUUGAACGGGGUAUGGUAGUAGGAGGUGCCUUUGAACAGGGUAUGGUAGUAGGUGCCUUUGAACGGGGGUAUGGUAGUAGGUGCCUUUGAACAGGGUGUGGUAGUAGGUGCCUUUGAACAGGGUAUGGUAGUAGGUGCCUUUGAACAGGGUAUGGUAGUAGGUGCCUUUGAACAGGGUAUGGUAGUAGGUGCCUUUGAACGGGGGUAUGGUAGUAGGUGCCUUUGAACAGGGUAUGGUAGUAGGUGCCUUUGAACAGGGUGUGGUAGUAGGUGCCUUUGAACAGGGUGUGGUAGUAGGUGCCAGGCACACUGGUUGUGUCAAGAACUGCAACGCUGCUGAGUUUUUCACACUCAACAGUUUCCCGUGUGUAUCAAGAAUUGUCAACCACCUAGAGAAGUUCCAGCCAACUUGACGCAAUUGUGGAAAGCAUUGGAGUCAACAUGGGCCAGCAUCCCUGUGGAACGCUUUCAACACCUUGUAGAGGGGGGUGGAGCAACUCAAUAUUAGGAAGCUGUUCUUAAUGUUUUGUUCACUCAAUGUAGAUUGUACAGUAUAGUACAUUCCCUGAACAAAAGCAGGAUCUAGAUUAUACAGCUCUAUCUGAACAGAUGCUGGCAAACCUAAAGAGUCAUUCCAUUUGAUUCUUGAUGACAGUCCAUGAUGCUGCUAAACCUAAAGAGUCAUUCCAUUUGAUUCUUGAUGACAGUCCAUGAUGCUGCUAAACCUAAAGAGUCAUUCCAUUUGAUUCUUGAUGACAGUCCAUGAUGCUGCUAAACCUAAAGAGUCACUCCAUUUGAUUCUCGAUGACAGUCCCUGAUGCUGCUAAACCUAAAGAGUCACUCCAUUUGAUUCUUGAUGACAGUCCCUGAUGCUGCUAAACCUAAAGAGUCACUCCAUUUG
ensembl:lncRNA